GCGUUGCUGGUGUAACGGUUAUCACAUAGGCCUACCAAGUCUGGAAUUCGGGUUCAAUUCCCGAGUAACGCA